rnacentral:rRNA from 1 species
AAACUUUCAACAACGGAUCUCUUGGUUCUGGCAUCGAUGAAGAACGCAGCGAAAUGCGAUAAGUAAUGUGAAUUGCAGAAUUCCGCGAAUCAUCGAAUCUUUGAACGCACAUUGCGCCCGCUAGUAUUCUAGCGGGCAUGCCUGUUCGAGCGUCAUUU